AACCGAGGCACAAGGCUGCCCUGUUCACUCCUCCUUAUGUAGGACUCAGCCCUCACUAACAGACCUUGGUCAGCUGUUCCUUGAUCUCUGUCUUGCCUUCUGAGCGACGGACUGGCUGCUGCCGUGACCCCAUACAGGACCACGAGGACACCCUGAGAAAUACAAUAAUGCCUCUGGCCUGAAUUCUCUAGAUGCUGCUCAAGCCACCAGGUGCUCUCACUGUCUGCUGACCCCACCCCGAGCAGUCUGGUCCCAUCUUUCCCCAUCACCCCUGUACAAAAGCAACAUCAUUUUCUGCUGUCUGUCUCUCCAUUCCCAGCGGGGUUCUGAUAGCCACUCCGAGCAUCAUCCCCACAUUCUUCAAAAGACGUGUUUGGAAACAAGAAAUUGCUAGAGAGAUGAUUCAGGCCUUGGCCUCCGAUUGUGUCUGGACAUAAGCAAGCCCAUCUGUGGAGCCUGCACUGCCAAAUUCUGUCAUCCGGCUCCAUAUGGCUCGCUUCCCCCCUCCCCCAACUCACAACCUGCAGUCUGUCCGGGCUCACUGUGGUGGUAGCUACACUGAGAAUCCAGGGGGAGGAGCCUAGGUUCCAGCAAGUGGUAUCUCUGCUCCCCUCCUGUCCUGCCUGGGACCACCAUGGGGGCAUGGAACCCAGCAUGGCUGGGCUUCUUGGCCUUCUCUUCUUGUCUCCACAGAGCCAUAAUGUGGAGUCCUCAAGCCAAGGGGACCCAAGGAGAUUGUGAACUUUUGCCACCCCACUCCCCCAAAUGGAGGUUGGACACUGGCGUCUGGUAAGCAAAGAAAGAACUUCGUAGACUGUACAGCACCAAGACUAGAGAGUGGUCCUUGGGCAUACGGGUUAUGGACCCGAAUGAUUUCUGGCUGGGGCAAAUUUCCAGGCAAAUCCCUGAUGUUCGUGAUCAGAUGAGAAAAUCAUCUUUCCCAGAGGACUUAAAUCUGAGAUGCUCAUCCAGGUCUGUAUCAGGUUCUGCGACUCCCAAGCAGCAUCAAACAGUCUCUGUCCACCAGCUAAAGGAGAAUGCACCACACAGGGUUGAGGCAUGUCCUUGACCCAGAAUCAGGAUAGGAGCACAGUCCGGGAACCAAAACAAAGGCCAGGCCACCUGCUCAUUCACAGAGCUGUCUCCAAGAGCUAACUUCAGGGAUGAACCCUGACAAAACUUGAGAUUGCCUCCCAAGUUUCCCUCGUUGCUGUUAGGAGCCCAGGUUGCCAAGGCAAUCAGCUUUCACUUGUGAGCCCCAGAUGCUAAGGCUGCGGUCGUGUUUCACGUGUGAGCUCAGAGGCUCCAUGGACCACUCUUUUGGCCAAGUGGUUUUUUUAUUGCAAGAGGAUUUCCUCAUCCUAUGUUUCAGGACUUUGAAUGAUGUCAUCAAAGCUCACAUGACUGUGUAGCUCUUCACAGCGUGCAGGUUUGUUCCAAAGAAAUUUCCUCAUAGGAGGUGGACACAGGCUCCCUGGGAUGCAGGUUGUUUUCCCAGAACAUGGAUAAGGCUCGGUGAGAUGAAGGCCGAGUUCAUUCAUCUCCGCAGCUGCUCACUGGAGACCUGUGCUCAUUCCCACAGCACUCCAUGUAUGGCUCCAUAGGGAUGAGGGUUCAUUUCACUUCGUCAUCAUUUGGAGAACAUAUUUCGUAGGUUGGGUGGGCUAAAAGUCAAGCUGGGCUGCCUUAACUCAGAGGCAGAGCUCAGAGAGCUGGACUGACAGACAGAUGUCUCUAGUGGCCAUGACUGGCACCAAGACUCUGGCAGGCGGCAUCAAUAACUGACUUGGCUUCCUUCUCCUAUGCCCUGGAGGUCCCAAGGCCUCUCAGUAUUCCCACUGGUGACAGACUUCUAAACUAUGGGUUCUCAAGAGAAUCUUCUGUACCAAAACUACAACAGGACAAAGAAAUAAAAUAA